rnacentral:lncRNA from 1 species
GGAUGAUUCUGCACCAAGUCGGUCUUGUUGGGCACGAUCCUGUUAUGGAGAAGCUUAAGAUUUCUGACACCAUUGCUCCUAUGUUCUCUGGAGAUGUUGGCAUGGCUGACCUGUUGGUGGGACCAGAUUGUAUCUGCUUCUGCCCGUGCAGGAGCUUCUUCCCCUGCGCCUCUGUUGUCCGCAUGUCUAGUUGAUUGAUUCUGCUCACUUCCUGCUGAAUCGUUCAGACUUUGUAGCGCUCAUGAGCCUUUUAUGUUGCGCCUAUGCUUGAUCUAUGAAGUGAUACAUCUGAAAUUUCCUACAUAUCUUAGUUGUUGGGCCUAGUUGUUGCUGGUCCGUUCUUGUGCAUUGGUCCUGCUCUGAGAGUCUAUUUGUUGCUUGCAAUACUACUAUUGAUUUAACUAGAUUUUGUAGCUUGUUGUCAAAACUUCAAACGACCUGAACUUGCGCAACGGUUCUAGUCCGAAAAUCAUCUGUAUUCACAAUGAUAUGUUAGCUUGUAGUCAAACUUGAUCAUGAGUCUGUUAGCAUGUAGUCAAACUUGAAUAUGAAUUUGUAUAGCUCUUUAUUGUUCUGAAUAGACUGUAUAGCUCUUUAUUGUUCUCCACUUAUUUGUACAGCCAAUGAUGCUUACUUAACUGUAUAGCUCUUUAUGUUUCUUUUCCAGGUAUUCUAUUUGUGCUCCACCCGAAAUCUAUUUUGCAUUGCUAAGUUCUUGAAACGAAGCGCUCACUGCUCGACCAUUUAUUUACUGAACUGGGAGCAACAGAGGCAAGAUAUUUGAAACAAGCUAAAGUCCUUUUGAUUCUUGAUUUCUAGCAUACACAUGCAACCUGAUUGGUGUAGAUAUGAUGUAGGUUCAGUGCUUACUAUUUUUUGAUUUGAUGCAUGUUACCUUCGUUUCUGUCUAUGCCUUCUUUAGUGUUUUGCCAGCUAACUAGUCUAUUGGUCGUUUUGAAAUAUGAAGAUGCUGCAUGUAAGCACUAUUGCUGGCAAUUUGGCACAUCAUAUUAGUCUUAUCCCAUGUUUUGUCACUAGCAUACACUACAAUCCCUUGUCCUGUCACUAGCAUACACUACAGUUUUAUUAAAAGGGGGCAUAUCAUUUGCUCUAUAUAACAGUGCUGAUUUUGCGCUGAUAUGAACUUACAACAGUAUUACAUUGUAGUGUUUUCUGCAUGUUGUUGUAUCACUAGUUUCAUGUUGCCUUCUCAUUUGAACAUAUUACUUGUUUUUGUUUUUAUCCUUGAUUAGUAUCAAUUGUUGUAUUGUAGACUUAAAAUUGUGGUGGUUCCUCCUUUACAGAAGCUCAAGUGUGAAGUCGUGAAGUGUGAAGCAAGUGUGAAGCCGUGAACUGUGAAGCCAAGUGUGAAGCCGUGAAGUCCAACUCAUUGUAGCAUAUCUGUGUUGUAAAGAUUGUAAUACAUUUAUUUAGUGGUAUAUUUGAUGAAUUUUAUGCGUUCUUUGUUCUAUUGGAAAUAUUGAUUAUGUAUGUGAUUUGAAAACUUGUGGAAUGGAAACUUGUCCAGUGAGGCCACUUAUGAAAAUAAUUUGUCAAAUUUGUA